AACGAACGCUGGCGGCAUGCCUAACACAUGCAAGUCGAGCGCCUGUAGCAAUACAGGAGCGGCGCACGGGUGAGUAACGCGUGGGAACCUACCCUUAGGUUCGGAACAACCGCGGGAAACUGCGGCUGAUACCGGAUGAUGUCUUCGGACCAAAGAUUUAUCGCCUUUGGAGGGGCCCGCGUCGGAUUAGGUAGUUGGUGAGGUAACGGCUCACCAAGCCUACGAUCCGUAGCUGGCUGAGAGGAUGACCAGCCACACUGGGACUGAGACACGGCCCAGACUCCUACGGGAGGCAGCAGUGGGGAGUAUUGGACAAUGGGGGCAACCCUGAUCCAGCAAUGCCGCGUGGGUGAUGAAGGCC
rnacentral:rRNA from 1 species